UUGUUCAGAUAGGUUUUUCAUCACCAACUCAGGCUGCCAUCAGGAAGGAUCUCCAUCUAUCAUUGACAGAGUACUCAUUGUUUGCUUCCAUCUUGACAAUUGGUGCAAUGAUUGGUGCAAUCACAAGUGGGAUGAUUGCUGAUUUCAUUGGUCGGAAAGGGGCAAUGAGAAUGUCAGCCAUUUUCUAUGUCAUAGGAUGGCUUGCUAUCUACUUUGGGAAGGGAGCCUUGCCACUGGAUGCUGGAAGACUGUCCUUGGGAUUUGGAGCCGGAAUCUUUUCCUAUGUGGCACCAGUGUUCAUAGCUGAAAUAGCACCAAAAAAUAUUCGAGGAGGUCU